CCGGGGGCCGCCGAGGCGCAGAGCGCCCAGCAGCGCGGGGAAGCGCCCAGCAGCCGCCGCUCGGGCGGCUCCUCCUCGCCGGCGAAGUCUCGCUCGUCCCUCCCUCACUCGUUCACAUUCAAACGACUCGGACCUGUGUUCACAUUAUGAAAGCUUUGUCGAAGACAUAUCACCCUUCCAGGUCAAGGGGAUGCUGCCUGAACUCCCUCCCAGUCUUGCCUGGUGGAUGGAAGGUGUGGAAGGGGAGGAUAACUGAAUUGCUGACCACCCAUCCACAGAGAUUCUCCCAUGCGCCUCCCUUUGGCUCUUGUAACUUUGAAUUUGGAAGCCUGCCUUCUUAUCAUGAAUGGGAAAAACCCAAGAGAUGUUUGAAAGCUAUUGUUCAGGACAAAUUCCUAGGGGCAGGAGAGAUGGCUUAGUGGUUAGGAGCACAUACUGCUCUUAAGGCUGACCAGAGUUUGAUUCCUAGCACUUAAUGUCCUGCAGCAUUCAGGGACCUAUAACUCCAGCUUCAGGGGAUUCAACGCCCUCUUCUGGCCUCCAUGGGCAUCUGCACUCACAUGUGCAUAUACACACAUAAUUGUUAUUAUUUUUUUAAUCUAGAAGGAGUCUCUAACAGCUACAAGGUCAGUUUUUCUUUUGAGAUCAUGAGAGAAUGAGGACAAAUGAGGCUCAGCUUCAGAAAGGAAGAGGAAUGUUGUUGCGGGUCAUCUGCAUGUGAAACGUUUAACCAGCAGCCUUUGUGGCAGAGCAGAGAAAGAGGCCUUGGUAACACAGCAGCCACCCAGGCUACUGUAAGAGGGUGCCCUGGCCAGAAGACAUUCCUGACUCUUAUUGUUAGAUAGUUCCCAAGAGAGACCAGACUUUCCUUCCAAGGGAUUGGUCUGCUUGUGCAUAAGGAUCUCUUCCCUUGUGUGAAUGGAACUUUAUCAUUUGCUUUUGUUGUAACACAGACCGCCCCAGGAGUCAGCAGCAUACAGAGAAAAAUGUUUAUUCAGCUUGCAGCUCUGUGGGUCACCUACGGCCAACUGAGCUUGGCCAGCCUCUGCACCAUGUAUCUCUCUUCCUCCUGUGCCGACCAGUGGUGAUGGCUAAAACCCUGCUGUUGAGCAGAAACAUGCAGUGCCUCUUAAAGCUAAGGCUCAGAACUGCUACACUGCCACACGGCCCCAAACAAAGCUAAGGAGUAGAGAGAAGUACACCAUUCCAUUAUGGGAAGACAUGAAAGUAUGGGGUGGCCUCCUGAGGAGUCUAAUUCUCUCCACUCCAGGCAGAGACUACAAUGACCAACCAAAGCAACAGUUUAACCUAAGUCCAAUACGGUAAACCAAUGGGCUUAUUGGCUUAGUUACAGAAACAUGGUUGACCCCAGCAGCUACAUCGCUGAAAAUCCUGGGUUUUUACUCCAGCAUGGGUAACAACUUAGGAAUUCUGCACUCCUGACCUUCCUUGGGCAACUUGCAAGCAGUCACACAACCAAAGAGUCUCCUCCUGCCUAGAAACUUUGUUCACAUUGUGACCAACCCUGGGACAGGGACCUCUAAUCUCAGGGAGGAGGCCUGAAAGCCAUGCAAGCGGCUUGAGCCUUAUGAGUGUGUGAAGUUCCUUGUGAGGCUCAUGUGCCUCCCCUGACCCCCUGGAGGGAAUGCUUCAUUUGAAUAGAAACAGCCAGAGCAAGUGGCAUAUAGAGAGGGCAGGUGAGCACCGUGCUAAUGACACAGCCCUCAGAACGCUGUCAAGAUCAUGCUCCCUUCCCCUGCAGCUUUACCAGAGAGCUUAUAACCCCUCCUUGAGAUGGAGGAAAUGAUACAGGGCCCUUCAAAAAAAGAUUCAGUCAUCCAGGGUAAGUUGACGACGUGACUGUGCCGCCUCUUUCCUGCAGUGAUCAGCAUGUGCCUCCACAAAGACCAGGAAGGCAGAAUUUGCAUUGAGCCAAAUGAUUCCCUCCGUUUUGUUGGUGCUUCGGUCCUCAAAAGCUGUAGUUUUUAUGCCUGAAAUUUCCCUGAGAAAAUAAAGCCGCCAGAGGAACCCAUGGCAAAGAACAAAUAAAUAGGAGACGCUACAACUUGGGGGUCAUGUGACCCGCGUGACUGCUAAAUGGGAAGCAUGAAGCAGAGGGAUGAGUAAUGGCAUGCCCAGCCUCAGCUCGACUCGAGAGCGGCACAUAGAACUGAGAUCUUGUGAAUGAUCCAGACGGAGAUUUCACAGAAUUUUGAUAAAAGAGCGUGGCCUGGCCAGGCCCCUGGACACUUCAGGCUAACAGGUUCUAAACACAAGCUGUUGAAUUCCAUCAGUGGGCAUGGCUGAGAACUGGGCUGUAUCAGCAGCAGAUCUGAAGGUUUCCAAAGAUCUGCACAUGCCCCAUCCCACCCCAUUCCCAACCCUGCAGUCCUCCCAUCCCCCAAAUUAAAUAAACCCUUGAUGCUCUUUCCCUUGCCAUAAAGCAUAUCAUUUCACAGGGUCUCAUUUACUAGAGGUUACCAAAAGAAAGCUAAAUUGGGAUUUGUUCAGUUCCUGAUGACUUGCCCCUAUUACCCUAACUCAUUUUCAGUGGCAUUUCAAUACUUUGGUAAUGAAUUAGCUCUACCAUUUCUGGCACAAAGAGAAGAGGGUCUAAAUUAAUUUUCAGCAAGGGAUACUAUUGGUCCAGGCCACUUCCCUCCCACUGUGUUAGCAUCAAUGUCUUGUCUCGUUAAAUGCCGAUAAACAAGUGUAACACUCUAACAAGCCACAAAUUGGCUUAUUGACACCUCUGGCAGCUGCUCUCUCCUUCCCAAACCCCUGCUUUAUAGGCAUUCUGUGGCUACCCAAAAUGGAGGCACUCAUGGAACAAAGGAGGAGGAGACCACAUAACCAUCCUAGGCUCCCAAGCUGCUGAUUCUUGUUCUAUUUGAUUUAAAUCUAACAGUAGACUAUUGAAAUUCCUUGCCUCUGCUCUGGGCUCCAUUUGAGGCCCAGGUAUUAAUGGCUUCCCUGCAGAGUGGGUGGGCUCACUCUGAUCCCCCUUCCAGCAGCUUUCACAGAAAUGGCUCCAAUGACUAUGACACUGGGUGGUCCUCUCUGUGUCAGCAAAUCAGUAGCUCUUUAACUAGCCCACUUCGAUUGCUCCAGAAAUGUUGAGACACAGAUGAGCAGGUCACUAUGUAGUUUCACUUUGGGCAACCCACCCAAGAGGUCACAGGAUGACCAAAUGGCUGUUUCUAUUAAGUGUAAGGCAAAGAGCUGACCUUACCCCUCCAGCAAGAAAACCAUAUUGGAAGAUUUAAAAAAAAAAAACUGCUCAAGAGUAAAGAUGCUUACAGCUGUAGCCAAUGGCUGAUGGAUGCCCGAACACAGUCAUAGCCACCAGGGAUCUCCUGCCAUAACCCUGUCUGAGAGCCUAGGAACAGAAUAGAGAGCAUACUGGCCACUUGGGACAGAUUUAGGUAUUUUCAGAGCAGGAGAUGGAGGAGAGGACUAAUUCUUUUCAUGUGAGGUUUUCAUAAUUUUUCUGGUCUUCAAAAUCACAUGCUAGGUUUCAAGUUCACAUUGUUAUGAAUUUAUAUAGGAAAUUUCUGCUCUGUAAUUCCCCCAUGAGCAUAGCUGUGUUAUCAGUGAUCAGUAGAAUCAACAAAAGGAAAGGGAUAUGAAAACAACAUUGCAGGAUGUUGAUCUCCAGGGUGAUAGCUUCCCUGGCUCUGUCUAAGCCCACAGCAUAGCUUGGAAGGGGCUUUGCACCAUCCCAGUUCUUCUCUGGGCACAGAGAGCAAAGGAGUCAGGAAACAGCACUGAGUGUCUGUGACCAGGUGGGACAUGCACGUGUGUCAGACGUUGGAUGCUGAGGAUGCUAGUAUGGAGGUGAGAGGAGAGGAAAAGAGCUUGUGAAGGACAAAGUUUCAGACGUUAAGGUCACCUUGGUGGUGGCUUCUUCUGGCACUUUUCUUUGCAGGUUCAUAUACACAUUUCCUGCCUCUCCUUUUACUUCUCGUGUGUGUGUGUGUGUGUGUGUGUGUGUGUGUGUGUGUGUGUGUGUGUGUGAUUGCAUGCGUGGAAACCAAGUUCUGUUAGGGCAGAUACGUAUAGUGGAUGAGGGGAUGUGUUUUGUUAUUGCUACAUUUGAAUAUAACCGAUGUAUAGUAACUGAACAGCUGAACACCACACCCUAAAUCCCACUUGCCACCUGAAAUCUCAGGCAGUGUGGUAGCAUUGUCAAAGGACCCAAGAGAAGGCCCUCUCCUAGUUGCACCUUGAUCCAGAAUAUUCUUCUCUCUUCAUCUAACUGUAACUCAUCUUUGAGGGGUCAAUUUAGAUACCACUUCUUCAGUCUGAGGGACUAAAUUAAGCUCCUCUGGUAAACGCUGCUGCGGUUCUUGGUAUUUCUUUUUGCAGCACUUUGCAUGCUCACGACUUGAUAAUAAAUCAUUCAUAGCUGUUGUUUAAUGCCUAUUUUCCCCAUUAGACUGUGAAUGUCAGCAGGCAGAGACUGCCUUGGAUUUUGUUCUCAUCUACACCACCGCCGCCACCACCCGCAACCCCAGCACGUGGCUGGGAACAGCAGAAAGGACAUGGGAUUUAAAAUGUUCAAGGGAAGCUUAAUGACACGGCAAGACCUCUACAUAGUGUCACAGGCAGGCUGCCAUCAAGAGUUAUGGAAUAUGUAAAUGAGAGAUGGGUGUCAUCCCAAGGAAAGACUAAAGGCAGAGUUGUGAGAGGUUGACAGAGUCUGGGUCUGAUCCCCUUCCUCCUCUGAGCGGGCCGUUCCUUCCCAUGAAAGUUCAGUUUGAGGGUCACAUUCUCAAGGUGCCCUGACUCCGCUCACAAUCAGGAGCUGAGGAUUGUUUGACGAGUAGUUUGCUCAUGCUCUUGGUCUUGCGUUUAAGUGUCAUCUAGAGAAGUAAUCACUCGCUUGAACGCCACACAAACUUCAAAAACCAAAAGAGAACUUUUAACCCUGCACUCUAGUUUUCCCUCAUUUCACAGAGAGGAGCACUGAGGCCCGGAUACUUGAGGACUUUCCCCAAGGGGCAGAAAGCACAGGUCAGAGGUUCACGUCUGGAAACUUGGUAUCACUCUGUGCUCUUGAUGUGGUGCCAUCCCUACAUUAGUCUCUUUUCCUCCUUAAAUGAAAGUUCUAUUUCUGAAAGAAUGCUAAACAUAAUAUUCAGAUAUCAAAGAGACUUCCUUAAAGAAAACUAAACUUUAAGUUGGA